AUCUCCGUUAUGCAGUGAUGGCGAGGAACAAUGCAGCAAAAACACACACAAAACUGUGACAGUGCGUUCACACACACAUUUCUCUCGGAGCGUGUUCUCACCACACGCACGGAUUAGCUGAGUUUUGACCCCGGUGACCCUCACAUGGAACGUGGCCGUUUGGAGGUCACAGAGGGCCGAGCUGAAGAUGGGAGUCGUCCGAAGAAAAGCCGAGAGUGCAUCGGCACUUAAGAAGAGCAGGAAGAGGUGUCAAAAGAAAGAGAGAUCUCUCCAGAUCCAGCUGCUAAAGGAAGACAAAGAACAGGUUUGGCAGAUAUGACUUCAUCCUCCCAACAAAGACAGCAAAGGAUGGAUGGAGGCGUUGGGAAGAAGAAGGGCAGGAAUUAAAAAAGAAAAAUAGUCACAUCACCGGCAAUUCCAGGCAAACCACACGCAGGAGAACCAACCACAGAGGAGCGAGACGCCGCGGGUCCAAACUCCUGGACCUGCAAGAUGAGAAGAUGAGGAGGUGCAGGAAGAAUGAAGCGUAGAAAAGGAGGCUGAUGUCCUGACGGAGGGCUGAUGUCCUGACGGAGGCUUGAUGUCCUGACGGAGGCUUGAUGUCCUGACGGAGGGCUGAUGUCCUGAGAACCAGGUAACCGAAUUGAGUCCGAGUGGACGGACGCAGAGCGAGUGGACAGGAGAAGGCAGCAGGAAGUGAGUGAUAUCAGCUGUGGGAAGAGUAUGAGAGAGAAGCUUCCUCAGACACACAUACACAUACACACACACACACACACACACACAUACAUAGGCAUUUAAAGAGUAGCACUCAUGGUGAUGCAAGCGACAAACCGGUUGACAUUACACAUUUACACAUCUCACUCCCACAUGUGAGGAGGCGAUUGAUGUACCAGCUGUCAGUGAUCAAGCUCCUCUUCUAUGGAACCAACUUCCACUUUGUCCGGGGGGCCGACACAGUCACUUCACACACACUCCUGUCUCCUCUUCACUCUCUCCUUAUGGACACAUUUACGUCUCUUCAUUGCACAUUACUAACUCCACUUCUUCCCCGGAGUCGGUGUGCCUUCUCGCCUCAUCGGGUCCAUUGGACCUGGCUGUGUCUGAAGCUGGUCCUGGGUCCUUGGUCCUGACCUCUUGCCCCUGCUCCCUGUGUCCAGCCCCUGGCCUGAGCCCUGCCUCCUUUUUUGUGCCUCCUGCCUCCUCAUUGGACCGGCCUCUUUCGCGAUGCGUCUUGCUCUGGUGGGCCGGCCUCCUGGGUCAGAGAUGUCGUAUGUGUACCGAUUGUAAAGCCCUAUCAGGCAAAUGUGUAAUUUGUGAUUUAGGGCUCUACAAAAUAAACUGAAUUGAAUAGAAUUUUCACAUUUUAAACAUUUUCUCAUACCACAGCCUGUGUUCUUGCUUUCUUGUGAACCACAAGAUCUACUUGUAUAGGUCAGCAAAGGUCAGAUUAAGAUGUCGAGGGUGUGUGUGGUUGGGAAGUAAAACGUUAUAAUAUUAAUUUAGGUUUGAGGAAGAUUCAGUGUGGUGGAAACAACACAUUUCAUGGUACGAUCACCUCGUGGAGAACUUCAUUGGAGGAAGUUUGAUGCAGGAGGAACCAAAAUAAAAUAUCCAGUUAUGAAAAUAUGUCUAUCACAUCAGAAGUGGAGCACUGGGUGUAUCCAUCUGUCUGCAAUAAACACACACACACACAGAGAGAGAACAUGCACCGAGGAGAAAAGGGGAAAUUCUGUUUCAAUGAGGUGAACAAUACUUGACAUAUCCGGACAUCUUUUUUACUACACACUUCCCCUCUUUGUGACAACUUCCUCUCCGUUUUCACUACCAAGUUACUACCAGAGGCUGCAGAUGAAUGAAGAAAGAUGCACACACACACACACACACACACACAACCACAGCCACAGAUGCAGGAGAGGAGAGAGAACGAGAAGAGAGUUGUUUUGCAACUAGAAAGAGGAAGGUGCAUGUGUCACUCAUUGUCUUGUGACGCAACACGGACCACUCAAUGAACACACACACUCACACACACAGAGGCUCACGUUAUCCCCGUCUCUUAUCCAAUCUUGUAUGCAAAGUAUAUCAUUUAUCGCUUGGGUAUAUUUGACCAAAGAAAAGAAAAAAACACUCUUGUUAGCCCUCGGGUCAGCGAGGGGCCUGGGGGGGGGACAAGAUGGAGCAUGCAAGAAGAUGAAGUAUGCAGGUACUCUCUUUAACUCACUGGCACAGCAGAUUUGCAUGGGGGUAUUUGCCAGUCAAAUGAGAUGUAGGGGUGUGACUUUGGAGAACUCAGUCAGAAUUCCCCUCUUCUGGGAGACUCCCAGAUCGCUUCCAAGAAGAAAGGUCAGGUGGGAUUAAAGGAUCUCUCGGACAGUUUGAAAUUGGCGGACAACAGUGGGGAAAAUGGAUUUUCUGGGAGUGGUUAAAUGGACGCGUUGCAAAAGACACACAAACCUCACGCUUCUCAUGCACACGUCAUGCAAAAGAGCUGUAUUGAAAUUUAUUUUGAUGUAUAUCAUCCAAAUCUGCCUUGGGGCAGAUUCCAGAAGGCAUUUGUUUUGCGUGCAGAUGCAUUGUGGGAUGGGGACAUACAUGUUUUCUUUGCUUUCUGCUAAUUAAUGAUCGAGGGUCAAGGUUUGAUUCCAGAAACAAGGUCAAAAUCCACGUUUUAAGGUCGGGGCGUGAGCAGUUCUCUGUUUCAAGGUCUCCAUGUUGCAAGGUGCUGGUGCUCAUAAGCGGACCAAGAGGUGUAUUGAAUUACAAUAUAUACCAGAGGUUUAAUUAAUUAUAUUCCAGCAUUUCUCAAGUAUCCCUCACCAUCAUUAUGUUUUUUUUCCUUUUUUUAACGCAGAUGUUAUUUAACUAUGUAAAGUGCUUAUUGUUGGUGUUUGAUUCAAACUGUUGAUUUAUGUUGUUUUGAUCAAGUUACCAUAUAAAUGCAAAAUAUUUUGUGUCUAUUUUUAGAAGCCUAUUUAAACUCAUUAUUUAUUGCUUCGAGCUAACGGUCUCUUAUUUGUUUUGUUAAAUUAAUAUUAAUGU